GUGGCCGACUGCUGUUCAUCACUCGUCUUCAGAUUUCGCCUCCUGAGAACACCUCUAAACGCUUUUGGAGCCACAAUGGAGUCCCUGGGAAAUGGAUCAUUGACACCCACUGAACUGCAGUGCCUACCUGAAAAAAAUGUGGGCAGGCGGAGUGUGGAAGUCACUAAGGUGGUGGAGGAGUUAUACGGUCCCCCAGACGAGAGCAGAGAACGGAGGAAUGAUGGCCACGCCACUGGACGCAAAUCUGGACGCACCACACACACCGAGUGUGUCCUGAACAAUAUAUCGCUAGACAGUGAAUGUGGCUUGGAGGAUGCAGUACACCAGCUCAAAGAAGACAUGAAAGAGUUUAUUGAGCCAGACACCAUCAUGGAAACAAAG